rnacentral:rRNA from 1 species
UACGUAGGGUGCAAGCGUUGUCCGGAAUUAUUGGGCGUAAAGAGCUCGUAGGCGGUCUGUCGCGUCGGAUGUGAAAAUCAGGGCUCAACCCUGGACCUGCAUUCGAUACGGGCAGACUAGAGUUCGGUAGGGGAGACUGGAAUUCCUGGUGUAGCGGUGGAAUGCGCAGAUAUCAGGAGGAACACCGGUGGCGAAGGCGGGUCUCUGGGCAGUAACUGACGCUGAGGAGCGAAAGCGUGGGGAGCGAACAGG